AAUGAACGCUAGCGGGAGGCUUAAUACAUGCAAGUCGAGCGGGAUUCUCCUUCGGGAGAUGAGAGCGGCGCACGGGUGAGUAACGCGUACGUAACCUGCCUUACAGAGGGGAAUAGCCCUGGGAAACUGGGAUUAAUACUCCAUAGUAUAUAGAUGGCGCAUGCUGUUUAUAUUAAAGUUGAGGCGCUGUAAGAUGGGCGUGCGUGCUAUUAGCUAGUUGGUGAGGUAACGGCUCACCAAGGCUACGAUAGCUAGGGGGCGUGAGAGCGUCGGCCCCCCCACACGGGUACUGAGACACGGACCCGACUCCUACGGGAGGCAGCAGUAAGGAAUAUUGGACAAUGGUCGAAAGACUGAUCCAGCCAUCCCGCGUGCAGGAUGACUGCCCUAUGGGUU
rnacentral:rRNA from 1 species